UACAGAGGGGGCAAGCGUUGUUCGGAAUUACUGGGCGUAAAGGGCGCGUAGGCGGCCUGCUAAGUCACACGUGAAAUCCCUCGGCUCAACCGGGGAACUGCGUGUGAUACUGGCGGGCUUGAAUUCGGGAGAGGGAUGUGGAAUUCCAGGUGUAGCGGUGAAAUGCGUAGAUAUCAGGAAGAACACCAAUGGCGAAGGCAGCUCUCUGGGACGGUACUGACGCUGAGACGCGAAAGCGUGGGGAGCGAACAGG
rnacentral:rRNA from 1 species